rnacentral:rRNA from 1 species
UACAGAGGUCUCAAGCGUUGUUCGGAAUCACUGGGCGUAAAGGGUGCGUAGGCGGUGCGGCAAGUCAGAUGUGAAAUCCCGAGGCUCAACCUCGGAACUGCCUUUGAUACUGGAGAUCUUGAGUCCGGAAGAGGUAAGUGGAACUGCGAGUGUAGAGGUGAAAUUCGUAGAUAUUCGCAAGAACACCAGUGGCGAAGGCGGCUUACUGGUCCGGAACUGACGCUGAGGUGCGAAAGCGUGGGGAGCAAACAGG